rnacentral:rRNA from 1 species
UACAGGGGGUGCAAACGUUGCUCGGAAUCAUUGGGCGUAAAGCGCACGUAGGCGGUUCGUUAUGUCGGAUGUGAAAGCCCUUGGCUUAACCGAGGAAGUGCAUCCGAAACUGGCGAGCUAGAGUACUAAAGAGGAUCGCGGAAUUCCCGGUGUAGAGGUGAAAUUCGUAGAUAUCGGGAGGAACACCGGUGGCGAAGGCGGCGAUCUGGGUAGAUACUGACGCUGAGGUGCGAAAAGCGUGGGGGAGCAAACAGGG